ACAAUCAUUUAUGUGCUGGCAUUGACUGGUUCCUUGUUUUAUGGUCUGCAGACCAGCUCUUCCUGAGCGUGCUCAGGACAAAUCGUGAGCUCAGAGGGGAUCGGGCGUUUGCUGUGGCAGCAGCAAAAUUGUGGAAUGAGUUGCCUUUACAUGUUAGACAGGCACCUUCCUUAUCUGUUUUUAAAUCACAUCUUAAAACAUAUCUAUUUACCUUGGCUUUGAGCACAGCAGGACUUGUUGAUGUCUCUUAAUGUUUCUUAUUAAUGAUAUAAUUUUUAAUUUUAAGAUAUUCUAUAUGUAAUUUAAACUGUUUUCUCUUUGUUUUAUAUUUGUAGCACUUUGGCCAACAUUGUUGGAUGUAUUAUAAAUAAAGAUGCUAUUCUAUGUCUCAUUUA